CUAGUUUUUGCCUCCACUACCUUACUGAUCAUGCAUUUGCAAGAUUAAGUAUUUCCAAUAUUUAUUAUUAUAAACCACAUAUUAUAUCUUUGUUACUAUCGCUGUAGUAUAUGACCUGGAACGGCUAGACUAAGAGUAUCACUCCAUCACCCAGGCUGGAGCACAGUGGUGCAACCUCAGCUCACUGCAAGCUCUGCCUCCUGGGUUCGAGUGAUUCAUGUGCCUCAGCCUCCCAAGAAGCUGGAAUUACAGAGUAAUCAAAAAGAGGAGCCGACUAGACACAGCCAGGAAGAGCUUCUCCCACCGGAAGACCAGACCAGCAAGAAAGUUGGCACCCUCCAAGCAGGUUGUUGAAAGGAAGGCCUUGAAUGUGGACAGAGGACGAUGCAGAUGAGGAAAGACUAGAAGGUUCUGUACCUGUUAACAGUGGCUGAUCCUAGAAGAGUGAAAUUUAGGGUAGUUGGAAAGAACACAGCACAGAAAACUUUAGGAUGAAUUUUCCUAGCAGCCAUUCUGUAUCGUCAAAGUUGUCAAAGCUGAAGGAUGAAAGAGCAAGCUUGCAAGAUGAGUUACGUGAGUAUGAAGAGCGAAUUAAUUCUAUGACUUCUCACUUCAAAAAUGUUAAGCAAGAGCUCUCAAUUACACAGUCUCUUUGCAAAGCAAGGGAGCGUGAGACUGAAAGUGAAGAACAUUUUAAGGCCAUUGCUCAAAGAGAAUUGGGACGAGUGAAAGAUGAAAUUCAACGGCUGGAAAAUGAGAUGGCUUCAAUACUGGAAAAGAAAA
ensembl:lncRNA novel transcript